GAUUGUUUUGGCAGUGCACAUAGUAAAAAUUAGAAUGAUACAGAGAAAAUUAGCAUAGCCCUUGCGCAAGGAUGGCAAACAAAUUUGUGAGAUAUUAUAAAUUAAA